rnacentral:lncRNA from 1 species
GUGGAAGACUCCAGGCCAGCUGGGUACUACAACUGGAAUUGGCACAGUGUGACUUCUUCCAUAUUCUAUUAUUCAGAGUAGUCUUGGGGCCCAUGCAGAGGUGGGAGGUGGAAAAAGCCUCCAUCUCUUGAUAUAGAUGGAAAACAUUAUGACCAUCUGUGGAAAUACCAUCCGCCACGUUCACCCACACAAUUCAUUACCAAGUCUUAUCCAUUCUACCUUAUAGAUAAUGCCCAAGUGUAUUUACUUCUCUCCUUCACCACUGUCAUUGCCUACAAGUCACAAUUUUUUCUCUCCUGGACUUCUGUCUUAGCCUCCUGACAGAUUUCCAUGGUACUUUCAAGGUCUCCUCCAUUCUCUAUGUAAUUGGAAGAGCUAUCCCUUUAAAAGAGCUAUCCCUUUAAAACUUAUGUUUCUCCUUAUUUUUGAAACUUUUACAGGGCUCCCUAUUGCACUUAGGAAGAUUAUAACAACAUUCACAAGUCCUUUUAUGACCCUCUCUCCACUCAUCUAUCCUCAUCUCUCACCCCACAACUUUUUACUCGACACUUUAGGCCGAUGGAAAAUUUUUCAUUUCUUGAAUUCACACUAUCUUAUCUUUCCUCUCCAGGCUUUUACACAUUCUCGCCCCUCUUCUACCCUAUCUUUAUCUAGUUAUCUCCUCCUCAACCUCAGCCUUUAGGUGUCAGUUUAAAAUCUACUCUAAGUAAACUUUCUUAGACUCCAAGACUAAGUUAUUUAGUCCUUCCAUACCCUUGGCACUCCAUAUGUACUAAUCCUGUGCUAAUUAUUACUCUUAAAAAUUCAUCACCUUUUGUAUUUCUUUGUUUGAUGCCUUUUAAUCUAUUCUGUAUAUAAAUGCACCUGUAUGUAAGUACUUGUUCUCUAUAUAAGUGUACCUCUAGUGUCUGGAACAUUCCUGUCCAUAGUACAUGCUCACUAAAUAUCAAAUAAAAGAAUCUUCCUUUUUAUAGUUUAUUUUGCUAUGAACUGAUAGUGGUGUGUUAAAUCUCCC